UUGACAUCUGUGCACCGUGUAACGCAAACGCAGAGAGGAGUGCGUGCAAGGAUAGGAGUUUUAUUGUGAGAAAUGCUUGUUUCCAAAGCCGAUUUUUUUUUCUCCCAACAAUCACAGGCUGUGAAGUCCUGCUUUUAAUGCAUUGCACACACUGAAUAUCACGUGAAAAACAAGAAUGAGAAGAACGGAUUAGAUUUACAUCCCCUUUGGGCUCCCGAGUGGCGCGGUCUAAGGUUCUGCAUCUCAGUGCUUGAGGCGUCACUACAGACACCCUAGUUCGAUUCCAGGUUGUAUCACAACCGGCUGUGAUUGGGAGUCCCAUAGGGUGGCGCACAGGUUGUUCUUAAAUGGCUUGCCUAGUUAAAUAAAUAGAUCGCUGUUUCUGCGAACUAGCUUGUUACAAUGCUAACUAGUGUGUAAGGAUAACAUUACAAGUGAUACAUUCAUUGUCAUUUAUGCCAAGUUCUUACUAGUUAGCUAUUCCCUGUACAAUGUAAUAGGGGACUUGUCGUGCUGCGUUUGUUGGCUAUGUUGCAGCAGGCUGUCACAAGCAUUCCACUGAUAACGUAGGAAAUAAUCAUUCUUAUCUUUGAACAGUUCGGAGGGUUCAAAGAACCAAUUGACGGACCUUGUUCCAAUUGUAAUUAACCAUUCUGAAGGAGACCCCAAACUCUCAAUGGAAUAUUGAGGAUCACAUCAAAACCAAAUUGCCCAACAUUAGCCUUUCAUUGCUAAAGCCCCACUUCCUGGAGUUCAACAUCAUCAUGAUCAGGGGUAACAGUGGGUUGAAGCCCAGAGACAAUGAAAUGAACCCUAAACCCUGGCCAAUCAACUACCAGGGAUAGAGGUUCUCGGGAGUGAAUGAGACGGAAUACUGUGUCUACCUGUUAGGGAAUCCUGUGAUCUGGUGGCUGAACCUGGUCAGUCUGGGCCUGUAAGUGGUUAUGGUGGCAGCAGCCUCUCUGGCCCGCCGCAGAGGAGUCCAGCUGGACAAGAGAACAGUAGGUAGGAGGAUUUAGAACUUCCCUGUCACUGUCAUGAGUAACUUAUUUUGAGUACCUCAUUCUAACGCUGAUGUGUAUGUGCAGAGCAUUGUUGCGUGCUGAUGGAAGGUGGAGGACUGCUGCUCCUGAGCUGGCUGGCUACACUAUGUACCCUUCUACACCACGUACCCUUCUACACCACGUACCCUUCUACACCACGUACCCUUCUACACCACGUACCCUUCUACACCACGUACCCUUCUACACUACGUACCCUUCUACACCACGUACCCUUCUACACCACGUACCCUUCUACACCACGUACCCUUCUACACCACGUACCCUUCUACACCACGUACCCUUCUACACCACGUACCCUUCUACACCACAGGCCGCAUUCUUUACUACCACCACUACUUCCCUGCCAUGCUCUUCAGCAGCAUGCUAACAGAUACAGUGGGCCUACCACAAAAACACAUGCUCCCCAUAAUUCCCCCGGUCAUGUAGACCAACUCAGUGGCCUUGUGGUUAGUAUCGGUCCUUGGAGUGGAAGUUCUAUUCAUACCAAAAGACAAAAAAAUGUGAUCCGAUGCGUCUCUGCCUGGAGCCACCACAGCAUCAAGGAGAUCGAUUGGGGGUAAGGCCAUCAAGCUGCCUCAUGCUGCAGAAACAGGAGGUAGGCUCCUGCUCCAAUGAGCUGUUCCGGAAGGUACCACGUUCAUCUGUACAAACAAUAGUACGCAAGUAUAAACAUCAUGGGACCACGCAGCCGUCAUACCACUCAGGAAGGAGACGCGUUCUGUCUCCUAGAGAUGAACGGACU